rnacentral:rRNA from 1 species
UUCAUGAAGCCGGAAUUGCUAGUAAUGGCAGGUCAGCAUACUGCCGUGAAUACGUUCCCGGGCCUUGUACACACCGCCCGUCACACCAUGAGAGUUGGGGAUACCCGAAGCCUGUGAGCUAACAUUAUGAGGCAGCAGUCGAAGGUAGAAUCAAUGAUUGGGGUGAAGUCGUAACAAGGUAGC